rnacentral:rRNA from 1 species
GUAGUAGGGAACCGAGAGGGGACCGACUCUUUCGGAGAGCCUGAACAGGUGCUGCAUGGCUGUCGUCAGCUCGUGUCGUGAGAUGUCCGGUUAAGUCCGGUAACGAGCGCAACCCUUGCUGUAUGUUACAAGUGUCACACGGAACUGCCGGUCAUAAACCGGAGGAAGUGGGGAUGACGUCAAGUCAGCAUGGCCUUUAUAUCCUGGGCUACACACACGCUACAAUGGGAAGGGACAAUAGGUUGCGAAGCCGCGAGGCGGAGCCAAUCCGGCAAAACUUCCCUCAGUUCAGAUUGCAGGCUGCAACCCGCCUGCAUGAAGUUGGAGUUGCUAGUAAACGCAGGUCAGCCAUACUGCGUUGAAUACGUUCCCGGGGCUU